rnacentral:rRNA from 1 species
UACGUAGGGUCCAAGCGUUAUUCGGAAUCACUGGGCGUAAAGCGUGCGUAGGCUGUUCUGUAAGUUGGAAGUGAAAGCCCAAGGCUCAACCUUGGAAUUGCUCUCAAAACUACAGGACUCGAAUUCGGGAGAGGAUAGCGGAAUUGUCAGUGUAGCAGUGAAAUGCGUAGAUAUUGACAGGAACACCAGUGGCGUAAGCGGCUAUCUGGACCGACAUUGACGCUGAGGCACGAAAGCGUGGGGAUCAAAC